rnacentral:lncRNA from 1 species
UGACAACAUAACUAUGAUAUGAAUAGAUUUGGUUUGACACGAUCUCGGAAAUGUGCGAAACGCAAAGGCUUGUGUGAUUAUCAUUUGCGACGUCCUUGCCCAAUAUGUGGCUCUGAAAUUAAAAAUAUAAGUCUUAGUUAACGAUAAAAAGAAAUGCAUCCUGCACAGAUUAAUAAUUUCUAUUUCGGAUACAUGUACUAUAUUGAUUAUGUCUUGUCACUCAAUUACCUGUAUUUCAGUGAUAGGUUGCAUCUGAUAUUUUUCAUUGUACUUGAGUUAAAUAAUUCAACCAAAACAAUAGGUCUACUUCAUAUCUUGAUCUGUUCAGUCUGCAUUUCUGUUCUGACAUCAAU